GAGGGUUUUGUGCGAGGUGAGGAAGGCGGGGAGCUAGCGGCGAAGGUCGAGCCUUUGGUGGUGGAAGCGCCCUAACGUGGAGGUCUCCACCAUUUUGCGAAGCGGGGUUGGAUUUGGCAGGUGACGGAGACGUGGGUCAAUGGAAACUCAUGGAUUGGCUUGGUGGAAAAAGAAGGGUCUGAUCGAAUGAUGAAAAUGAAUUUGAUUUGGAGUGAAUUGAAAGGGAAGGUCUCAGACUGGAACUGGAAGCUGGGUCCGAAGACAACGAUACGGAAACAACACUCUCUUCAAAAUCUAAGAUUCCAUCACCUUUUUGAGUGCAGAUG
rnacentral:lncRNA from 1 species